CUUCAGCAGAGAAUGGACAGCCUACUAUUUUUGCCACUCGUACCCGCCCCCUUUCCAUGUUGCGCACUUUCCCUGCUCGUACCCCUCGCCCCUACUUCGAUGCAAAGGAUUUUAGUUUGCCCUAUUUAUCUGCUUGAGACACCUGCAGAAUCUGUUUGCAUUCAUCGGAACCCAGCGUUUGGUCUUGUGGCGUUAGAUGUAUUGCAUGUUUUGCUUGUUGGUUGCAGCUGAGGGUUGCUGGCAUCUGACUCACAGUCUUCUCACCUUCUCCGUCUGAUCCUGAAACUACCUAAUGACACCACCGGGAGGCCGAGCGAGCACACAGCACACUCCCACAGAGGCGCCGCCGCCAUGGAGCCAAGGAACACGACGGGAAGUCCGCCGCGGCUAACAUCAUUCCACAAGACCGUGCAGUGGCGUGAGCGUGAGGAGUGUCUGAUGCUGGUGCUGGGAAGGAGGCCUGUCUACUCACGCUACUUACGCUUGUCUACUUCCUCUUGGGGGCCCUCAUCACCCUUAACCACUGGAUAGGGAGAUCUUCCAUAUUGCCUCUCUGACAUGCCUGCAUAUGACCAAGGACUUCCCUUGGCCCCUCUACCCAGGCCGUAUGACCAUCAAUUCAACCCCCCAACCCAUGCUCCUACGGGGGUCACUGGAGGGGCAUCUGUAGGCCAUAAUGGCGAACGUCCGGAUGGGGGUCUGUAUGUGGGCUGCAGUUGGAGAGCUCCUGGCAUAAUUCAGGGCUGGAACAGAACGGCUGUUGGGGGUGCGGCCUGACGACAGGAUCUGUGAGGAGUUUGGGGAGAUGCUUCAGCGGGCAGAGAAUGCACAGGUGCACACACACACAAAACACAACACACACACACACACACACACACACACACACACACACACACACACACACACACACACACACACGCUCAAACAUUAGCCAAUAUUUUUAUUUUUACUUUUUAUUCUCUUCUGGUCACUUUUGAUGUUGCAUGCAUAUUACGUCAUGCAUGUCUGUCUCUCUAUCUCUCUUUGUGUGUGUGUGUGUGUGCACGUGUGCGCGCAUUGAUAGCUACUGUGUUGUACUAUAAUGGGAACUUUAACCUGAGUGUAUGUGAAACUCCAUCUCUGUGGAAGAUUACUGUUCCUGAGUCACAUGAGUCUUGUGUGUGUGUGUGUGUGUGUGUGUGUGUGUGUGUGUGUGUGUGUGUGUGUGUGUUAGAGAGAGAUAUAGAGAACCAUCCACAGGGUUGGGCAGGAUGAUCCGAUCCUCCCACAGUCAUGUGUUUUCCAGUCCUAGGACAUGACAUCUAUGACACAGUCUUGUAGUUUUAUAAAUGUAUCCUAGUUUUUUAAGUGUUCUAUGUUUUUUUAUUUACCUAAAAAAAUGAUAAUUUAUCCAAAACUCAACAAAUUUCAUCUCAUAAAUAUUGUAAAAGGUUGAGGAAAUGCAUAGCAGAGCAUAGCAAAUGUUUGACAAUACUGUGACCAGGAAACACCUGCUCAGGAGAAAAUAGUUCAUUUGUCAGACUGAGCGGAUGUCCUACAGGAAAGGUAUCACAUGGCGUUGGGCAUGUAGGGGGACAUACGUGGACAUAGUUUCCAUUCCUUCUGUGAACAGUGCACUUGUUGUAGCCUUAUUAAGAGAACGGGGACGAGAGAGGAUGUUGUUACUUCCUGGGGAUAAUAUGACAUGGGUGCAAAG